rnacentral:sRNA from 1 species
AUAAACAAUUAAUAAAUAAGUAGAGAGAAUGACAAAAAUAAAAAAUAGUUUCUCUGCAGAGAAACUUUGGAGUAAUGAUGGAAAAACUAUAUGUAUAGGUAUGUGUUUAUAAUUGGACAGAAACUAAAUUAUAUUAAAUAU